GUCAGCAUGGCGUAGUGGUUUGAGUGUUGGACUGCAACUCUAUAGACCAGGGUUUGAAUCCCAAUUCGGCCA